UCCUCAGCAUGGAAUCGAUAAAUUUGAAAAUAAAUAAUCAAUAAAUAAAGCACGAAGUUGUGUCCAAGAUACGUUUUAUAAUACGGAAGCUACUGCAGCAACUAACGCUGCACCUCGACCACUGCCGUCUUCGGACAACAUCAAAUCGAACUGAAAAUGA